rnacentral:tRNA from 1 species
GGACUCGUGCCUAGAAAUAAAGGACUACUUUGAUAGAGUAGGUAAUGAAGGUUAAAGCCCUCCCGACUCCU